rnacentral:lncRNA from 1 species
UCCCCUUCAUCUUUUUCACAUCUAUGAAACUCUUGAUAACAAAAAGAAUAUUCACAUAAUUUUUUUGUGUAAAUAUUUUCGUUAUGGAUAUUUUCAUCUUCUUCUUCAUCAACUAACAAAUAAGGAGGCACUUGUUCUUCAUAUUUUUCAUAUUCUUCUAAGCUAAUUCCAUCUUUAACAUAAUCAAUUCCCAUCAUGGCUAGUGCUUCAAGUGAAAUCGACAUUUUUUUGGUUACGAG